rnacentral:rRNA from 1 species
AUGUCUCAGUACAAGCCAAAUUAAGGUGAAACCGCGAAAGGCUCAUUAAAUCAGUUAUGGUUCCUUAGAUCGUACACACAUUUACUUGGAUAACUGUGGUAAUUCUAGAGCUAAUACAUGCAAACAGAACUCCGACCGGAGACGGAAGGAGUGCUUUUAUUAGAUCAAAGCCAAUCGGUGGCGGUUCGUCCGUCAUCGUAUAACUUGGUGAUUCUGAAUAACUUUUAGCUGAUCGCACGGUCUUGCACCGGCGACGCAUCUUUCAAAUGUCUGCCUUAUCAACUGUCGAUGGUAGGUUCUGCGCCUACCAUGGUUGUAACGGGUAACGGGGAAUCAGGGUUCGAUUCCGGAGAGGGAGCCUGAGAAACGGCUACCACAUCCAAGGAAGGCAGCAGGCGCGCAAAUUACCCACUCCCGGCACGGGGAGGUAGUGACGAAAAAUAACGAUACGGGACUCAUCCGAGGCCCCGUAAUCGGAAUGAGUACACUCUAAAUCCUUUAACGAGGAUCAAUUGGAGGGCAAGUCUGGUGCCAGCAGCCGCGGUAAUUCCAGCUCCAAUAGCGUAUAUUAAAGUUGUUGCGGUUAAAAAGCUCGUAGUCGAAUCUGUGUCCCACGCCGCCGGUUCAUCGUUCGCGGUGUUAACUGGCGUGUCGCGGGACGUCCUGCCGGUGGGCUUAGCUCGCGAGGGCGGCCCAACUCAAUCCCGCUGCGGUGCUCUUCACUGAGUGUCGAGGUGGGCCGGCACGUUUACUUUGAACAAAUUAGAGUGCUUAAAGCAGGCUAAAAUUUCGCCUGAAUAUGUGUGCAUGGAAUAAUGGAAUAGGACCUCGGUUCUAUUUUGUUGGUUUUCGGAACCCCGAGGUAAUGAUUAAUAGGAACGGAUGGGGGCAUUCGUAUUGCGACGUUAGAGGUGAAAUUCUUGGAUCGUCGCAAGACGG